rnacentral:rRNA from 1 species
AGUGAACGCUGGCGGUAGGCCUAACACAUGCAAGUCGAACGGUAGCACAGUAAGCGUUUGCCCUUACGGGUGGCGAGUGGCGGAUGGGUGAGGAAUACAUCGGAAUCUACUUUUUCGUGGGGGACAACGUAGGACAACUUACGCUACCACAUCAUACCACCAACGGCUGAAAGCAGGGGAUCUUCGUACCUUGCCCUAAUUAAUGAGUCGAUGCCGGAUUAGCUAGUUGGCAGGGUAAAGGCCCACCAAGGCGACCAUCCGUAGCUGGUCUGAGAGGAUGAUCAGCCACACUGGAACUGAGACACGGUCCAGACUCCUAGGGGAGGCAGCAGUGGGAAAUAUUGGAAAAUGGGCGCAAGCCUGAUCCAGCCAUACCGCGUGGGUGAAGAAGGCCUUCGGGUUGUAAAGCCCUUUUGUUGGGAAAGAAAAGCAGCAGGUUAAUACCCCGCUGUUCUGACGGUACCCAAAGAAUAAGCACCGGCUAACUUCGUG